rnacentral:rRNA from 1 species
GAACAUGUUAGACGAAUCAUCUGGAAAGAUGAAUCAAAGAAGGUAAUAAUCCUGUAGUCGAAAACAUAUUCUCUCUUGAGUGGAUCCUGAGUACGACGGAGCACGUGAAAUUCCGUCGGAAUCUGGGAGGACCAUCUCCUAAGGCUAAAUACUCUCUAGUGACCGAUAGUGAACCAGUACCGUGAGGGAAAGGUGAAAAGUACCCCGGAAGGGGAGUGAAAGAGAACUUGAAACCGUGUGCUUACAAGUAGUCAGAGCCCGUUAAUGGGUGAUGGCGUGCCUUUUGUAGAAUGAACCGGCGAGUUACGAUCUGAUGCAAGGUUAAGCAGCAAAUGUGGAGCCGCAGCGAAAGCGAGUCUGAAUAGGGCGUUGAGUAUUUGGUCGUAGACCCGAAACCAGGUGAUCUACCCUUGGUCAGGUUGAAGUUCAGGUAACACUGAAUGGAGGACCGAACCGACUUACGUUGAAAAGUGAGCGGAUGAACUGAGGGUAGCGGAGAAAUUCCAAU